UUGAGAAACGAAGGUGAAGUACGCCAGGGAAUGAGAAUCACGUGAUGCAAAUUACUCUUGAAUGCCCUAUAUGUUAAUUCCUUGAAUUACCACUUAAUGUUGAUUAAGAUUAACCAGUGUUACGAUGUAUUUAUUGAGCAAGACUCUUGGCAUUAAUUACCUGAGGAGAAGUUAAAGUAAUUAGUUGCAUCGAUAUUAAUAAUAGUUGUGGGUUGAAGAGGAGACUAGUUUUAAGGUUUGAAGAUCUUAAACUCCGAUUCCAGUUUCAACAUUCUAUUGAGCUUUAUACACAAAACGAAAAUAACAGCUUAAGUAUUCACGAUAGUUUUAAAAAUAUAACAAGAAUAACCAUGAAGCUGAUUUCACGUUUCAGAAUAAGUUUUAAAACAUUUUUAAUGAAAUAAAAACGUUCUUUUUGCGAGUCCACAUCUUUUGACAGACUGGUGUGUCACGUGAUGGGCGAGUGCUCUCCAUUAUUUAAACCUGACGUUGAGCUGUCGAGCAGUAUUUCUUAAUUCUAGUGUAUGGAUCUGUCAUGACAGUUUAUUCAGGGAAUCAAAUAAGGAUUUCGAUGCAUGCCUCAAAACAAUUAAUAUAAUUCCUUUCACUAAUUAUCGUGCGUUUCACGUACGUUUGAAAAAAACUUUUUGCUGGUAUACCUGACUUCGACAACUUACACAACUCCCGACUGAAAAAUGCAGUUUCAAAUCGGAGCAGUGUUAUUUGAACGAUGAAGAAUUCGACAAUGAAUGGGGGUUUAUUUCAGAAUAAUGAUGACCUGUUUAGGAUACAUUAUAAAUAUAGAAGACUCUGAACAGGAUUUGUUUUAGCAGCUCCAUACGAGAAAUAGUGGGCCAGAGGACCAGAGAAAAUGUUCAGCAAAACAUAAGUGUUGCAACUAUCGGGGAGGGAAAAAGCCAUUUUUCUCAGGUGUGCAAAUAACGUAAUGAACAACCUGGAAGCCACAUCAGUGCCAAUUAUUGACGAGGUCAUAACGAAAUAUAUCAACUGCUUCAGUCGAUUGAAGAUCGUCCCAAUCUGUUUUAUGUAUACAAGAUUUCCAUUUGGGCUUCUGAACACUGCGGCACGAUUUCAGCUAAUGAUAAACCAAAUAUUCUCGCAGAAAUAAUCUUGUAUAACCUACCUACUAUUAUUUAAACAUUCUUAUGUGCUCUAGCUCGGUGGAAGAUCAUGGCAGAAAUUUGCAGGCAUUUCUAUCAAUUUAUCAAAGAUUUGAAUGUCACUUUCAUUUAGAAAAGGGUGUUUUUAGCAAAAUGGUUAAUGCAUGCAAGAUCACCAAAAAAAAAAAAAAAAAAAAAAAAAAGCACCUAAUCGUUAUAAGCUGAUUCUUCUUAAAGUUCCUACUUCCAAAAAGGAAGUUGAAAAAAGCAUUGGGUUUCUUUACAAUAAAUGAGUAGCACUUCUAAUAAAUUUUAUAACUUUACUCCUUUUGUUCUUUUUCAUGAUUUGAUAUACCUUUUAAUUACUGUCUGUGGCACAGCGAAAUGUUCUAAAAGAUGGAAUUGUGCAAAACAUGACAAUCUCUAACAAUCUUAAUUGUAAAGAUGCUUUUUCAGGAACGCUUCACCUCAUCUAAUCUCUGCUCUCAAAUACUACCAAUGAGUGGACCUGCCGCUUGAUAGUUUCUUAAAUACUGCUCUCCAGUUGAUGUGUGUCUCUCUCUACCUUUUUGGCUAUUUUACCUAUUUAUGUGUAUGAAUGAAAACGAGCUUUUGGAACGCAAUGACAAAUUUGCCUGACAUCUCCAACUGAAAUAGUUGAAGUUGCGAAAUCAGACCGAACAAUUGUUGAUUCAUUUCGAAAGUUCCUUUAAAACCAUCUGAAAUACUUAUAAAGCUGUAGCAUUAUUCGUUGAAUAAAGUCUUUGGUAUACAAAUAUUCAA
rnacentral:lncRNA from 1 species